GAGUUUGAUCCUGGCUCAGGAUUAACGCUGGCGGCAUGCCUAAUACAUGCAAGUCGAUCGGGUGUAGCAAUACACUAGAGGCGAACGGGUGAGUAACACGUAUCCAAUCUACCCCAUAGUGGGGGACAACUGACCGAAAGGUUAGCUAAUACCGCAUAAUAAAUGCAUUAUCGCAUGAGAAGCAUUUUAAAGGUCCGUUUGGACCGCUAUGGGAUGAGGGUGCGGCAUAUCAGCUAGUUGGUGAGGUAACGGCCCACCAAGGCGAUGACGUGUAGUUAUGCUGAGAGGUAGAAUAACCACAAUGGGACUGAGACACGGCCCAUACUCCUACGGGAGGCAGCAGUAGGGAAUUUUUCACAAUGGACGAAAGUCUGAUGGAGCAAUGCCGCGUGAACGAUGAAGGUUUUAGUGGAUUGUAAAGUUCUUUUAUUUGGGAAGAAUUGCUAGCAAAGGAAAUGUUGCUAGUUUGACGGUACCAUUGAAUUU
rnacentral:rRNA from 1 species